rnacentral:ribozyme from 14 species
AAGCAACAAAUGAAAGCAACGAAAGAGGGGAAGAACUUGCCGCUUCUUCUUCUUCUUUCGAGUUCCUUUAUUCUUAUUUUGCUUUGGUCUCUUACUCUGCUUCUCGUUUAGAAGUGUCCCUUUACAGGGCAUUUUUAGAUGUCAAGUCACCAGAAGGGCAAAGAGGGAUACAACCCAUUCAGAGAACA